UGAGCUAUGGUGUAAUGGUAGCACAGCAGUCUCUGAAUCUGCUUGUCUUGGUUCGAAUCCAGGUAGCUCAA
rnacentral:tRNA from 1 species